UGGGGAAUAUUGCACAAUGGGGGAAACCCUGAUGCAGCGACGCCGCGUGAGCGAAGAAGGUUUUCGAAUCGUAAAGCUCUGUCCUAUGAGAAGAUAAUGACGGUAUCAUAGGAGGAAGCCCCGGCUAAAUACGUGCCAGCAGCCGCGGUAAUACGUAUGGGGCGAGCGUUGUCCGGAAUUAUUGGGCGUAAAGGGUACGUAGGCGGUCUAUUAAGUCAGGUGUGAAAGCGUGAGGCUUAACCUCAUUAAGCACUUGAAACUGUUAGACUUGAGUGAAGGAGAGGAAAGUGGAAUUCCUAGUGUAGCGGUGAAAUGCGUAGAUAUUAGGAGGAAUACCGGUGGCGAAGGCGACUUUCUGGCCAUAUACUGACGCUGAGGUACGAAAGCGUGGGUAGCAAACAGG
rnacentral:rRNA from 1 species